rnacentral:rRNA from 1 species
CCUACGGGUGGCAGCAGUGGGGAAUAUUGCACAAUGGGGGAAACCCUGAUGCAGCGACGCCGCGUGAAGGAAGAAGGAUUUCGGUAUGUAAACUUCUAUUAGCAGGGAAGAAAUGACGGUACCUGACUAAGAAGCCCCGGCGAAUUACGUGCCAGCAGCCGCGGUAAUACGUAGGGGGCAAGCGUUAUUCGGAUUUAUUGGGUGUAAAGGGAGCGUAGGCGGGUUGGAAAGUCAGAUGUGAAAGCCCGCGGCUCAACUCCGGAACUGCUUUUGAAACUGUUGAACUAGAUUGCAGGAGAGGUAAGUGGAAUUCCUGGUGUAGCGGUGAAAUGCGUAGAUAUUAGGAAGAACACCAGUAGCGAAGGCGGCUUACUGGACUGUAAAUGACGCUGAGGCUCGAAAGCGUGGGGAGCAAACAGGAUUAGAUACCCGAGUAGUC